rnacentral:rRNA from 1 species
GACGGAGGAUGCAAGUGUUAUCCGGAAUCACUGGGCGUAAAGCGUCUGUAGGUGGUCAAAUAAGUCAACUGUUAAAUCUUGAGGCUUAACCUCAAAAUCGCAGUCGAAACUAUUAGACUAGAGUAUAGUAGGGGUAAAGGGAAUUUCCAGUGGAGCGGUGAAAUGCGUAGAGAUUGGAAGAACACCGAUGGCGAAGGCACUUUACUGGGCUAUUACUAACACUCAGAGACGAAAGCUAGGGUAGCAAAUGGG